GGUGCUGGGGCGUAGUCGGGCAAAGCGCCUGUCUACUAAACAGGAGAUCCUGGGUUCAAAUCCCAUCUGUACCU